GAUGAACGCUGGCGGCGUGCCUAACACACGCAAGUCGAACGAAGCACCUUACCUGAUUCUUCGGAUGAAAGUUUGGUGACUGAGUGGCGGACGGGUGAGUAACGCGUGGGUAACCUGCCCUGUACAGGGGGAUAACAGCUGGAAACGGCUGCUAAUACCGCAUAAGCGCACGAGGAGACAUCUCCUUGUGUGAAAAACUCCGGUGGUACAGGAUGGGCCCGCGUCUGAUUAGCUGGUUGGCAGGGUAACGGCCUACCAAGGCAACGAUCAGUAGCCGGUCUGAGAGGAUGAACGGCCACAUUGGAACUGAGACACGGUCCAAACUCCUACGGGAGGCAGCAGUGGGGAAUAUUGCACAAUGGGGGAAACCCUGAUGCAGCAACGCCGCGUGAGUGAAGAAGUAUUUCGGUAUGUAAAGCUCUAUCAGCAGGGAAGAUAAUGACGGUACCUGACUAAGAAGCGCCGGCUAAAUACGUG
rnacentral:rRNA from 1 species